CCACAGUUCCCCAAUAGCUGUCCCUCAACCAUUCAAGACUCCCCCCACAUUCCCCCCCAGGAAGAAAAAAUUAAAUUAAUUCCAUUCCCCACCCCCAAGAACCCCCCAAUGCACCAACAACCAAGAGAAUGAACUAAAGAGAAAAAAGGAAGACAGAAGAAAACAACAAACAAAUAAUACAUUUAAAACAAAGGACAUCAAGGCCAACUGUAUAUGUUUGUGUGCAUGUCUGGCACUAUUACAUGUAUGUGUGUGUUCUUGUAUGUGUUUAUUUGAAUGAGAGUGUGUGUAUAUGUGUACAAACACCUGCACGGCCUCAGCCUCAGGAAAACUCUGCCACUUAGUGUCAUUCAAAUGUACUUUUUAUUAUGAUUUAUUUUUUAAACUUUAAAAAAAAAGUAUUUUUGACCAUGAUUCUCUCUGUCACUCAGCAACUCCACUCCCACUUGUCUCCAAUUCCACAUACCUUCCCUCAGCCCAUCCCAACUAUCUCUGCUAUGAAACUUUGUCAAUGAUGACACAAUCUUUCAAAGUGUGUGAUUGUACACGUAUUUUUAAAACGUUCACUCACUGCCUAUAGACCGUUACCAUAUGGUGUUCAAAUGUAUUAUGAACGUUUCACUGACCUGCAUUUCAGGUUUGUUCUUUGUGUGCAUGUAUGGAUAACAUUAUGGUGACAUAUAACGACCUUCUGCUGUUAUAGGUGACAAUUGAACUCCACAAGUGCUACUCUAGGAUCAUGUUCUCCCUGUCUAGGUAAUCUUAAUCAUUUCUGAUCAUAAAAGGCACAAAUGAUCCUACAUCAGCACUCCUACCCUCCUCUUCUCUGGAGAUCAGACUGUUGACAGUUCACAGAAGAUAUGGUUUAGUUUGAUAGAAUGAUUUGAGCGCGGGAUGCAUUAUUUGGGCCACUGCUUAGUGUUUACUGUGGAUGGAUGCCUUGUGUGUCUCACGUUUGUCUCACAGAGAAAAGUCUCAGAUGACAGACUUGACUUGCCAUUAACCCUUUCACUCUGUGAGGAGCAUAGGUCAACCACAAAUGAUCUCUGCUGGUAACCGAGCCACCACAGAUACAUGGGGACUAUUACACUGUCACACUUGGCAGGCCCUUGAUUUACUUUGUCUGAGUGGUAACAAAUAAAACACAUAAAAUGCAUUAUAAACUGGGUGGUUCGAGCCCUGAAUGCUGAUUGGCUGACAGCCGUGGUAUAUCAGACCACAGGUAUGACAAAACAUUUAUUUUUACUGCUCUAAUUAUGUCAGAGGUUUGUGGUAUAUGGCCAAUAUACCACGGCUAAGGGCUGUAUGCAGGCACUCCGCUUUGCCGUGGUAUGUUUUAUUUACUCUUUUUCACACCAGGCAUGGGGAUGAGGACCACUGAAGUGGGAAGAAAAGGAUGUCUGAGCCAUGAUUUUCUCUUCACAGUGAAAUGCUCUGUUCGGGAUGGGCAACCCCUUGCUCGACAUCUCAGCUGGACAACGACUUCCUCCACAAGUCAGUUUGAACAUAACCGUUUAGGCUCUGUCCCACAUGGCUCCCUGUGUAGUGCAUCACUUUAGACCAGGGCCCAUUUGGGGUGUGUCGUGGAAUUAUUCUAAUCAAAGUAAAGACUUUUACAUUUCCUCCAAACAAGUCAACUUUAUUAUUAAAUUACUGCAAUAAUGGAACUUGUCAACAAGCCCCCCUCUGUAGGUGAUUCGUUGAGAGCCCAACCAGCAGGACUAAGCCACAGCAUUUUAUAGUAAAGUCCAUCCUCCUGGAGGUUCAUGACAAAUCACAGAUGUAUGGAAUGGGUCACAAGGUUAGGAUUCAUAUGAAAGGUAUGGACUGAAGCCCAGCACCCAGAUACUGACCGAGGACAAGCACAAAGCCAUGAAAAAGUGUUUCCCCCAUAGUGAACAGAGGGGUGGCACUUUCCAGCACCUCUCCGGAACCAUACUUUAACAACUGAAUUCCGGUCGGACCUCCUUUACCAGAACACAGCUGGCUUUCAUGCUGCAGGCAUGGGGGCUGGUAAUUGCAGACACACAGAGGAGGGGUACGUCACUUGAGUGUGUUGAGUCACUGACGUGGUCUUCCUGUCUUGGGUUGUGCCGUGGCGGAGAUCUUUGUGGGCUAUACUCGGCCUUGUCUCAGGAUGGUAAGUUGGUGGUUGAAGAUAUCCCUCUAGUGGUGUGGGGGCUGUGCUUUGGCAAAGUGGGUGGGGUUAUAUCCUGCCUGUUUGGCCCUAUCCGGGGGUAUCUUCGGACGGGGCCACAGUAUCUCCUGACCCCUCCUGUCUCCUCCAGUAUUUAUGCUGCAGUAGUUUAUGUGUCGGGGGGCUAGGGUCAGUCUGUUAUAUCUGGAGUAUUUUUCCUGUCUUAUCCGGUGUCCUGUGUGAAUUUAAGUAUGCUUUCUCUACUUCUCUCUUUCUUUCUUUCUCUCGGAGGACCUGAGCCCUAGGACCAUGCCUCACGACUACCUGGCAUGAUGACUCCUUGCUGUCCCCAGUCCACCUGGCCGUGCUGCUGCUCCAGUUUCAACUGUUCUGCCUGCAGCUAUGGAACCCUGACCUGUUCACUGGAUGUGCUACCUGUCCCAGACCUGCUGUUUUCAACUCUCUAGAGACAGCAGGAGCGGUAGAGAUACUCGCAAUGAUCGGCUAUGAAAAGCCAACUGACAUUUACUCUUGGGGUGCUGACUUGUUGCACCCUCGACAACUACUGUGAUUACUAUUAUUUGACCCUGGUGGUCAUUUAUGAACAUUUGAACAUCUUGGCCAUGUUCUGUUAUAAUCUCCACCCGGCACAGCCAGAAGAGGAUUGGCCACCCCUCAUAGCCUGGUUCCUCUCUAGGUUUCUUCCUAGGUUUUGGUUUUGGCCUUUCUAGGUAGUUUUUCCUAGCCACCGUGCUUCUACACCUGCAUUGCUUGCUGUUUGGGGUUUUAGGCUUGCUUUCUGUACAGCACUUUUAGAUAUCAGCUGAUGUAAGAAGGGCUAUAUAAAUACAUUUGAUUUGAAGUCAGAUUCUACUUUAAAAAUGGGGCAGUGUAGUUUCAUCUUGGAUUUACUUUGUGGAAUCAUUUUUUUUAUUUGAUAGAAUUAAGAGAACAGUGUUUGGCCAGUGUUAGGCUAGUAGCCUAUUCAUGCACUUGUUUUAAUACCCUUUGAGUUUAAACAAAUGUUUUAAUGUAGUCGCAUGUAUACAGAAUCUGAUCAAUAUUUUGUUAUCUGUACAACAGUGCCACCGUGUGGCUGGAAAUGGAACCUAAUGGUCACAUGACACUGUAUAGUACAGGAUAAACAGAAUAUUUACCCUCUCUCUCCUGCAGGUGGCAAGAGCAGCGUUUUCUUUACCGGGAUUCAACAUGACAACAUUAGAAAACACAACUCAAAUCUGCAAAAGAGAAAAUGGCAUCUACUUUUCAUAGUUAUGAUAAAUAUACUUUUUAGAGUGGCAUUCAUUUGUAUUAUUAUGACUAAGGCAUAGGGACUGUAUUGUUGUCUAGGAAAUAUUCUCAGGCAUAUAUUAAACCAUAUGUCAUAUAAACAUCAAAUUACACUUUUAUUAGUCUGUUCGAGAUAACAUAAACCAUGUCAUUUAGCCUCUACACAGAGUAAUUCAACAGCCUCUUGUUAAAUAUUGUCAUAUUAACCCUGAAAUUAGGCAAUUAAAUUACCCUGUUAGAUGACUGAAUGAAGCCCUUUUCAUCAAUAAGGACCCCCAGAUAAAUAUUCAACAGCUUCCUGCGUGAACUGUACAUACAACCUGUUCACUAUUAGUUUAUCAUGACACCUGCGUCUGUCCAAUUCAAUGAUAAUAAAUAGUUUAGUUUCUCAUCUUGGCACUGAUGGUAAUGACUCCUUUCAGAGCUUGUUUGCU
rnacentral:lncRNA from 1 species